rnacentral:rRNA from 1 species
CAGUAGCCGCGGGAAUACGUAGGGUGCGAGCGUUGUCCGGAAUUACUGGGCGUAAAGAGCUCGUAGGCGGUUUGUCGCGUCGUCUGUGAAAUUCUGCAGCUUAACUGUAGGCGUGCAGGCGAUACGGGCAGACUUGAGUACUACAGGGGAGACUGGAAUUCCUGGUGUAGCGGUGAAAUGCGCAGAUAUCAGGAGGAACACCGGUGGCGAAGGCGGGUCUCUGGGUAGUAACUGACGCUGAGGAGCGAAAGCGUGGGUAGCGAACAGGAUUAGAUACCCCAGUAGUCCCUGUCUCUUAUAC